GACGAACGCUGGCGGCGUGCCUAAUACAUGCAAGUCGAACGCAGUGGGGACGGGUGAGUAACACGUGGGUAACCUCCCAUCAGAGGGGAUAACACUUGGAAACAGGUGCUAAACCGAUACUGAUGGAUGAACCCGCGGUGCAUUAGCUAGUUGGUGGGGUAACGGCUCACCAAGGCCACGAUGCAUAGCCGACCUGAGAGGGGGAUCAGCCACACUGGGACUGAGACACGGCCCAGACUCCGACGGGAGGCAGCAGUGGGGAAUCUUCGGCAAUGGGCGAAAGCCUGAUCGAGCAACGCCGCGUGAGUGAAGAAGGUUUUCGGAUCGUAAAGCACUGUUAGUAGGGAAGCGGUAUCUAAAGAGAAAGCCACGGCUAACUACGUGCCAGCAGCCGCGGUAAUAC
rnacentral:rRNA from 1 species